GACGAACGCUGGCGGCGUGCCUAAUACAUGCAAGUCGAACGCAGUGGGGACGGGUGCGUAACACGUGGGUAACCUCCCAUCAGAGGGGAUAACACUUGGAUACAGGUGCUAAACCGAUACUGAUGGAUGGACCCGCGGUGCAUUAGCUAGUUGGUGAGGUAACGCCUCACCAAGGCCACGAUGCAUAGCCGCCCUGAGAGGGUUAUCGGCCACACUGGGACUGAGACACGGCCCAGACUCCUACGGGAGGCAGCAGUAGGGAAUUUUGGGCAAUGGACGAAAGUCUGACGGAGCAACGCCGCGUGAGUGAAGAAGGUUUUCGGAUCGUAAAGCUCUUUCGGUAAAGAAGCGUUAUCUAAACAGAAAGCCACGGCUAACUACGUGCCAGCCGCCGCGGUAAUAC
rnacentral:rRNA from 1 species